AUAGGCUAGAAAAGCACUUUACAAGGGCGUUUCAGUACUUUUAAUGCUUGAAAAUAGAGCAAACAGGUGGAACCGCCUCGUCUCAGAACUAUGACUUGGCUUUAGUCUGAAUAAGAGAUGUACAUGGCCGGUAUUCUGCGUGGCCGGCCUGGUGGCUCCGCGGGCUGAACCAUCGGACACUUCUAAAGUUCAGAGAGCAGAUCGACUCCCGGAGAGUCUUGUGAGUUGAAGUCGAGCCCCGAGCCUCCCCGUCAGUCUGAGACCUAAUCCCCGGGUGAAGCUCUCAUGCUGUCGGGGUGAGUUUGUGGGGGUGGCUGUUCUCUACCACGCCGGCCGUUUUGGGGGGCUCCAUUUUCGGGGCCUUCCAAAACAGGGAAAAUGGGGGGUUUAAGACCUUUAUAAAUGCAUAGAUCGGAAUUCAAUUCGAAAAAGCAGCCCCUUAUACCACUGAGACACCUGCAGGACAGGUGUGGCACUAGCAGUGAAAGAGAGGUGCAGUCCUAACUAGGAGCGACAGGGGUCUCUCUCCAGCACAUUUCUCUUGAUUCGACCAGCUGGCCGGAAGAUAAACGAGUCCGGCAAACAGUUUUGUAGGGGAAUGUCACUGUAUUGGGUUCUCUGAAAAUCCUUAGCCUUUAAAUACUAAAUUUUUGAUUUGGUGAGUUCAAGUUUCUAUUUAUCUUCAGUAACGUCAGUGGUGAGCCCUUGUAACCGAGUGCACAGCUGUCAUUCAGGAGCCGAGCCCGCCCCCAGAGUGACCUUCCUCAGCGGACACGCCCCGUCCACCUGUUCCACAGGUGCGCCCGGCAAGAUGGCGGCGGGGGGAGUUUCUGCGGCGUGAGGACGCCGAAAUGAGUGUUCUGUUUGAGCGUGCUCUCGAAGUUUUAGAAGUCUGCGGUCCCAUCUUAUCUUUCAUGUGACAAAAGGAAUUCAAGAACGGGUCUCCAAUUAUGGAAGAAGCGUUUUUUUCCAGGGUGCGCCCGGCAAGAUGGCGGCGGGGCGAGUUUCUGCGGCGUGAGGACGCCGAAAUGAGUGUCCUCUCCGUUUGAGCGUCUUCUCACACCCAAAAGUAUUAAACUACACCCGUAGUUUUAAACGUUUGCAUUCCGCGUUCUUACACUAUCUUUCACGUAAGUAUGUUUUUUUUUAGAUAUGGUAUCUUUAGGUCAGUUUUCUUUAACGAAACAAAGACUCUAGUUUACCUCCAAACAUUUGCUUUAGUAGUUAGUAGCUGUGUCAUCUGUCCUUUUCGG